rnacentral:tRNA from 1 species
GCGGGCGUGAUGGAAUUGGUAGACAUAUGGCACUUAAAAUGCCUGGGCCGACAGGCCGUGCCGGUUCGAGUCCGGCCGCCCGCACCA